rnacentral:rRNA from 1 species
CAUUGCGGGCGUGCUUACAAUGCAAGUUGAACGGAGUAUGUUGGAAGGGUAACCGGAAGGCAUAUUUAGUGGCGAACGGGUGAGUAAUGCAUGAGAACGUAUCCUCAAGAGGGGGACAACAUUGGGAAACCGAUGCUAAUACCCCAUAAGCCGGGAGGUAAAAGGAGCAAUCCGCUUGAGGAGCGGUUCAUGUCCUAUCAGCUAGUUGGUGAGGUAACGGCUCACCAAGGCGAAGACGGGUAGCCGGCCUGAGAGGGUGAACGGCCACACUGGAACUGAGAGACGGUCCAGACUCCUACGGGAGGCAGCAGUGGGGAAUAUUGGGCAAUGGGGGAAACCCUGACCCAGCGACGCCGCGUGAGGGAAGAAGGCCUUAGGGUCGUAAACCUCCGUUGUGUGGGAAGAAGAGCGUGACGGUACCACACGAGGAAGUCCCGGCUAACUACGUGCCAGCAGCCGCGGUAAUACGUAGGGGACGAGCGUUGUCCGGAUUUACUGGGCGUAAAGGGCGCGUAGGCGGUCAUUUAAGUCAGCUGUGAAAUGGUGCGGCUUAACCGCAUCAUGCGGUUGAAACUGGAUGACUGGAGUGCUGGAGAGGCAAGUGGAAUUCCCAGUGUAGCGGUGAAAUGCGUAGAUAUUGGGAAGAACACCGGUGGCGAAGGCGACUUGCUGGCCAGCAACUGACGCUGAGGCGCGAAAGCCAGGGGAGCAAACGGGAUUAGAUACCCCGGUAGUCCUGGCCGUAAACGAUGAAUGCUAGGUGUGGGCAUCGAGAGGUGUCCGUGCCGGAGCUAACGCGAUAGCAUUCCGCCUGGGGGAG